UACGUAGGUGGCAAGCGUUAUCCGGAUUUAUUGGGCGUAAAGAGAACGCAGGCGGUCUUUUAAGUCUGAUGUAAAAGGCAGUGGCUCAACCAUUGUAUGCAUUGGAAACUGGUAGACUUGAGUGCAGGAGAGGAGGGUGGAAUUCCAUGUGUAGCGGUGAAAUGCGUAGAUAUAUGGAGGAACACCGGUGGCGAAAGCGGCUCUCUGGCCUGUAACUGACACUGAGGCUCGAAAGCGUGGGGAGCAAACAGG
rnacentral:rRNA from 1 species